UUUUUCAAACAUACCAUGAAAAAUAUGAUAGGGCCUCUCUCAUUGUGUUCUCAGUUGCAAUUGAGCUAGCAACCAAAUGAUAGGGACUAUAUGAAUCUGUCAUUGCUGCUCUGCUAGGUCAAGUACACUAUCGAAUCCAUCGGAAUUUAAAAGGUGCCUAUUCUUAGAGGCAAUUCACUUGUGCCCACGACUGGUAUCAGCUUACACAGUCUUUUCAACAGGGGCAAUUCACCUAUUGCCCGGUUGCCAAUUAUAGGGCUGUUUUGGCUUAUACACGGAUUAUCCAUUUAUAAAAUUCGUAUCUUCUUUUUACAACCGCAUCCCAUGUUGCCAAGCGCUAAUACAACAAAAUUGUUAAAGAUAUUACACAGUCUGUAGAUUGAAAUCAAUCCAUUUUUCUCCACAUUUUUUGAAACCACAUAAGCCACAAUCACAAAGUCAUUUUGCAGACUAUUAUAUACAUAUUAUAACUCAAGAUAAGCUAAGUGACUAGCUAGGCCAAAUAAACUUGAUAAGAUUGAACAAGACCUUCAAUCCUUUUCUUUAUCUCAUCUGGAUUGGCACCCACUAGCCUGUCAACUUGAGUUCCUUCCUUCAUCAGCAAAAAUGUUGGCAUGGCUUUUACCUCAUAUUUGGUUGCUACCUCCUAGUCAUAACCAGAGGAGGAAACAUAAAUUAACCACAUGUGCAUCAACAUCAACCAAAUUUGGAAAUGUAAUUCGAAGUCAAAAACGUAUUAACACGCAACCGGACAAAAUAGUAUGGAGAUUAAAGAUCAAGAACAGAAUAAAUAAAUAAAAGUACGACAAAGAUUUACAUGGUUCAACAAGAUCUGAAAUCUUCAAUGACAAAGAAGAUUACAAUGACAUCAGCUAGAUUAGCUAUAAUUUGUUGCUAGCAGGAUUUUAAAUAGAUGUUCGUAUUGGCCAUUGCGUAACAGGAUUUCUAACCUCCACUACCGUUAUUUACUUACGUAUCGUCCGGUCCCAUGUAUGGCCUUAUCACCGAUGCCAUUAUGUUUCUCGAUACUGUAUCGUCCGAUACAAACCGAUACGGCCCGAUGUAUGGCCAUAUCCCCGAUGCCAUUAUGUUUCUCGAUACUGCAAUUUAAAACCCUGAUUGCUAGUCUUUUACAUACCACAAAUUUGCGACAUUGCCUGAAUACUCCUACAACAUUUCACCUCAAGGCACUGUACAUGAACGAGUCAUUCAAAAAAUCGUGGCCCUUGAGUCCAGCACUAAUUGACAUACUUGAUAUCCCGAAACCCCGGAACACAAAUUCAUAGGAAAAACAAACACAACGGAGCUGACCAGCCAUUAGCUGAUUGCAAAAACUAGAAAAACCAAGCAAGUUGUCACCUUGCUGGUUAAAAUAACAAAAUCUUCAAGGGUUGGGAGGAAAACAUGACAGCUUUGAUAAGCUUUUCAACAUUUCUAAGGAAUUUCUUAACGCAUCCGGCUUCUCUAUAGUCCAGUUUUUGAACUGCACCUUGCAGUUUUGUUUCGGGAGUCCUUUACGGGUUUUACCCCAAUCACCUCAG